CGACCGGGGCGACAGCAAUAUGAAGGUCAGGCUGAAGACCUUACCCGAUUAGCUGAGAGGUGGUGCAUGGCCGUCGUCAGUUCGUACUGUGAAGCAUCCUGUUAAGUCAGGCAACGAGCGAGACCCACGUCCACAGUUGCCAGCAUACCCUCCGGGGUGAUGGGUACACUGUGGAGACCGCCGCUGCUAAAGCGGAGGAAGGAGUGGGCAACGGUAGGUCAGUAUGCCCCGAAUCUCCCGGGCUACACGCGGGCUACAAUGGUUGGUACAAUGGGCAUCUACCCCGAAAGGGGAAGGAAAUCUCUUAAAGCCAAUCGUAGUUCGGAUUGAGGGCUGCAACUCGCCCUCAUGAAGCUGGAAUCCGUAGUAAUCGCGUUUCAACAGAACGCGGUGAAUACGUCCCUGCUCCCU
rnacentral:rRNA from 1 species